rnacentral:rRNA from 1 species
GCCAGACUCCUACGGGAGGCAGCAGUGGGGAAUAUUGGACAAUGGGGGGAACCCUGAUCCAGCGACGCCGCGUGAGUGAAGAAGUAUUUCGGUAUGUAAAGCUCUAUCAGCAGGGAAGAAAGAAAUGACGGUACCUGACUAAGAAGCCCCGGCUAACUACGUGCCAGCAGCCGCGGUAAUACGUAGGGGGCAAGCGUUAUCCGGAUUUACUGGGUGUAAAGGGAGCGUAGACGGCGAAGAAAGUCUGAAGUGAAAGCCCGCGGCUUAACCGCGGAACUGCUUUGGAAACUUUUUUGCUGGAGUACCGGAGAGGUAAGCGGAAUUCCUAGUGUAGCGGUGAAAUGCGUAGAUAUUAGGAGGAACACCAGUGGCGAAGGCGGCUUACUGGACGGUAACUGACGUUGAGGCUCGAAAGCGUGGGGAGCAAACAGGAUUAGAUACCCCAGUAGAG